rnacentral:misc_RNA from 1 species
GUGACCUGCGGAGGAUCAUUAUAAGUGGGAGGUGUUGGGUGUUGGGUUGGGUUGGGUGGUUGGGGUUGGGUGGAGGGUUGAGUGUGCGAGUAAGCAAUUGCUGGCAUCCAACACCAUACNCCUCACUCAACCUCACUCAAGCCACACACAAACCCCCAACACCCGCAUCCAAAUGCGCCGGAUCCCGAGAGGGAGAAGGACACAUGAGCGUGAAGAGUGACUUAGGCAUUUAGCAAUAAAUACAGACUUUCAACAACGGAUCUCUGGGCUCCUGCAACGAUGAAGAACGCAGUGAAAUGCGAAACGUAAUGCGAUUUGCAGCAUCUGUGAGUCAUCGAGCCUUUGAACGCACCUGGCACCCGAGGCUGACUCGGGUAUACCUGUUUGAGCAGUGGAAACAAUGCAAGUGAGUGUCAAGCGAGUCUUGUCGCUUGAAAGACGUGAGUGCUGGCUGUGCGGAAGACGCGGCCGCCAUGUGUCGAUGGGACUGUGGUCUCUGAUUGUGGCGGCGGCGGCGGAAGUGCGGGAUCUGCAGCAUCAAGGCGUGGGCGUGGUAGAGCUGGGUGGAGGGUGUGAGAGCAAGCGAUUGCUGGCGUCAACACCAGACACCCAACCCGACCACGCCCGCCCACCAAACAUCACUCUCAAAUCAGGCAAGAUUACCCGCUGAACUUAA